rnacentral:rRNA from 1 species
AGUGAACGCUGGCGGUAGGCCUAACACAUGCAAGUCGAACGGCAGCACAGUAAGAGCUUGCUCUUACGGGUGGCGAGUGGCGGACGGGUGAGGAAUACAUCGGAAUCUACUUUUUCGUGGGGGAUAACGUAGGGAAGCUUACGCUAAUACCGCAUACGACCUACGGGUGAAAGCAGGGGAUCUUCGGACCUUGCGCGAUUGAAUGAGCCGAUGUCGGAUUAGCUAGUUGGCGGGGUAAAGGCCCACCAAGGCGACGAUCCGUAGCUGGUCUGAGAGGAUGAUCAGCCACACUGGAACUGAGACACGGUCCAGACUCCUACGGGAGGCAGCAGUGGGGAAUAUUGGACAAUGGGCGCAAGCCUGAUCCAGCCAUACCGCGUGGGUGAAGAAGGCCUUCGGGUUGUAAAGCCCUUUUGUCGGGAAAGAAAAGCAGCAGGUUAAUACCCCGCUGUUCUGACGGUACCCAAAGAAUAAGCACCGGCUAACUUCGUG